rnacentral:rRNA from 1 species
AUUGAACGCUGGCGGAAUGCUUUACACAUGCAAGUCGAACGGCAGCACGGACUUCGGUCUGGUGGCGAGUGGCGAACGGGUGAGUAAUACAUCGGAACGUGCCCAGUCGUGGGGGAUAACGUAGCGAAAGCUACGCUAAUACCGCAUACGAUCUAAGGAUGAAAGCGGGGGAUCGCAAGACCUCGCGCGAUUGGAGCGGCCGAAGGCAGAUUAGGUAGUUGGUAGGGUAAAAGCCUACCAAGCCGACGAUCUGUAGCUGGUCUGAGAGGAUGAUCAGCCACACUGGGACUGAGACACGGCCCAGACUCCUACGGGAGGCAGCAGUGGGGAAUUUUGGACAAUGGGCGCAAGCCUGAUCCAGCCAUUCCGCGUGCAGGAUGAAGGCCUUCGGGUUGUAAACUGCUUUUGUACAGAACGAAAAGGCUCUGGUUAAUACCCGGGGCUCAUGACGGUACUGUAAGAAUAAGCACCGGCUAACUACGUGCCAGCCGCCGCCGUAA